rnacentral:sRNA from 1 species
UGACUGAUCUCCCCUGCCGACCCAUCAUGGCCGAGUACCAGUAAGUCGAGUUUAGUGAUGGAGUACUCGUUGACCCACACGACAUGACGGCCUGUAAGUCUGGACUAGGUGAAGUAUAUCAAGGAUGACCUUUCACCUUGCCGAGGGUGCAGUACCUUUGACCUUUGGAGAGUGUGACUAUCAGAGGUGGACAAUAAUAUGUUGGUCUGAAAUAACUUUUUCAUUAAUGAGUUCAACGUCUUAAGGCAACCAGGACUUCAGCUGUUAAGAACGUAGAAUGUAGACGAGACUGAGAAGGUGUCGCAGUAAGAUGUAGCCGAAGGUCUGUAACCAUAUGUGAGCCGCAAUGGAAAUUAAAAAAAAAACUUGAAUGUAUUUUGUUUUUAAAUCUAAACUAAAUCCACUAUAAUUCUAUAUACUCUGUAUCUAUAAAUCGUCAUUGUAUAAAUCUACAUAAAUCUACUCUAUCAUUGGUGCAUAAAACUUCAGUCGUGUGAAAUACAACGCUCGUAGUCUGGGCUGUAUGACUGUACAAGAAGAUAAUAUGGAAAAAUGUUUUAUUAUAACUUGUGUGAAAGUAUUACAUCUUGUGAGAAAACAUUACAUCUUGUGAGGAAUCAUUACAUCUUGUGAGAAAACAUUACAUCUUGUGAGGAAUCAUUACAUAUUGUGUGGAUUCAAACUGAUAGUUUUAAAUCAGAAGAUUGUGUAAAACUAAUUUACUUGCUUUGGAUGCGUCUGAUUAUGGAUGUGCCUGAUUAUGGAUGCGUCUGAUUAUGGAUGCAUCUGAUUAUGGAUGCGUCUAAUUAUGGCUGCAGGUUUCAAUGAAAUAAUGUGGUCUUCUAACAUCAACUUUAUCUUCAUUUAACACCAGGGGUGAGUGUCUGAAGAAACCCAUCCUUGUCUGUUCCGUUAAUUAAAUGUCGACUUGAUUCUAUUCUUUCAAUUUAGACUUAAAAAAA